ACUAUGUACAGAAAGCAUUUGCCUACCAAAUGGCAAUGUUAAGUAGCAGACGUUGGUUUUAUAUUGUUGUUAGCAUUAUUGUGGUACUGUUGUUAUGAUUUCAAGGCCCUAUUUUAGGGUGAAGCUAUCCAAAGGUGACAUGCAUCCAAAACGAACGCAUAAGAUGUUGAAAAACCAAUCUACUCUUCCCCAUAAAGGACAGCAAUGAAAAACAGGUUCUAAAUUGUGAGGCUUAAGAAAGUAAUAAUAAUAAUAACAGAGUUGGAAGGGACCUUGGAGGCCUUCUAGUCCAACCCCCUUCCCAAGCAUGAGACCCUACAUCUGCCUCUACCUAGGAUCGAACUCGCAACCUCCUGAUUGUGAGGCAAGAGCUGCACCUCUAGGCCACCAGAGAUUCAGAUUUUCAAGGCCGGAUUAAUCUAUUCAGACUGCAAUCCUGUGCACAUUUAUUUUGGAAGAAAUGCCUUUGAACUAAGUGGGACUUGCUUGCUAAUCAACCUGUAUUGGAUUAGGUUCUGAAUCAAUAAAUGCAAAUUAUAAUUGCAAAGGCUACCGAAACACAGCAAUGCACAGGGGUUGGGUGCACGGAUAUGGAUAUUUUGCUCAAGAUAUUCCGCAGCCGAAGAGAAUGGAAAGAGAAAAUUGGAGAUGCCGAGCAGCCAAAAUUAAACACACAUAAUAGCAUAAUCCUGUAUUCAUGACACAAGCAAUCAGUGGGACUUAUUGCUUAAUAUGAGUGUAUUUGGAACUGCAGCUGUAGUUACAAUUAUUUAAAUGGGAAAGUUAACCAUCUGCAGAAAUCUCUCUUAUCGAAAUCAGGGUUUCUUAAAAGUUAAGGCUGAUUAAAAACUGCUCUGUGUAAAUUUGAACUCCGGCUUUAAACUAGAAACUGUUUUACACUUCCUUCUCAAUCUUAGAAAGGUAUUUCUAUGAAAGAGGAGGUUAAAAUACAGCAAAGUAACCCUUUAAAUCAAUUAAA